AUGGGAAAUAAGCAAUUCAAGUAAUACAUCAAAAUAUAUAUUACAAGUAGUUCUUUAAAACACAUUAAAGUGCAUAUAAAGAUAGAUAUAGUUACACUAAAUUACAUGUCAACUUUAUGUCAAUUUGCACAUUUUCAUUCAGUUAACAGGGGAUGCUUACAAGUUAUCACAAUACCAAUGCAUCAUUUGUACAUUGCUACUGUUAGUUAUUAUUUAUAUUGUUAGCAUGAGAAAGGCUUUGCUAUAACACGAGGUGCUGAAAUGUAAGCAAACUUUGAAUUGAAUUUAGAAUGUCUCACAUUCAGAGUAAAAUAUAUUUUAUUCCUAAAUUAAUAUAUAGAUGCCCCUAUGACUAUGACAUUUGGAACAAUUAAAACAUCACACAAUUACUCUCCUGUGUGAGUUCUCUGAUGACUAACAAGGUGUACAUGCAGGCCACAUUCAGAAAAAGGUUUCUCUCCUGUUUGAAUUAUUUGAUGAAUAACAAGCUCUCCUUUACUGAUAACACAUUUUCCACAUUCAGAAUAUGUGUGAGUUCUCUGAUGUGUUUCAAGACUUGCUUUACCGACUUGACAUUUUCCAUUCCCACAUAGCAACCAAGCAACAUGGUGGGAAGUAGCAGAAUUAAAAGGUAAAAGAGGCCCUUUAAGAAGGCGUGAAAAAUAGGUUUGUGAAAUAACAGCUACUUUUGGAUGCCAUAGUCUGAGGAGGUGGGUUUUGAGGGACUUGAUUUUCCAGAAUUUUCUUCAUAUGGCGUUGGCUGCCACACUUAGCUUUGCAUCCUGAGUGAAACUUAUGAAUGCUGUUGUUUGGGUCACAGACAGUAAGAGAGAGUCUGGGAUUAGAUAAAGCAAUAAACUGUGUGUGAAAAGGCAUGCAGAAAUUAAGUGAGAAAAUUAAACCAAUCAAUGGGAGAGAUUAGUUAGGUGAAAUUGAUAAAUGGGGAACAUCAAAUAACCAGACAAUAUGUGCAAUAACUCUCACACUAACAAAAAUUAAACAAACAUUAAAGAAUUCAAGAGUUGUGCAUUGAAGGCACAGAAGUUUUCAAAUUUAACAUUAAUAUCAAAGGGGAGGAAAGUAAAGAGGGGCUCUGUAGAGUUAACAUAUUUGCAAUACCAAUGCAUCAUUUAUACAUUUCUAUCACAGGUAUUUUGUUUUUGUGUCAGCAAUAAAGCAAUUCACAGUAUUAGUUGUUUAAUUCUGAUGCUAAUUCAUAAACACAUUAUAAAAACUCUUCUGUGUGAGUUAUCUGAUGAUUAACAAACUCUGGUUUACUAACAAAACUAUUUCUCCAUUCUGUACAUGAGAAAGGUUUCUCAUCUGUGUGACUUCUCUGGUGUGCAACUAGAGCUGAGUGCUGGCUAAAGCAUUUUCCACAGUCAGAACAUGACAAAGGUUUCUCUCUUGUGUGAGUUCUCUGGUGUGCAACUAGAUGUGAAUGCCUGUUAAAACAUUUCCCACAUUCAGCACAUGAGAAAGGUUUCUCUCCUGUGUGAGUUCUCCAAUGUGUAACCAGAUUUGAAUGCCUGUUAAAACAUUUCCCACAUUCAGCACAUGAGAAAGGUUUCUCUCCAGUGUGAGUUCUCUGGUGUGCAACUAGAGUUGCCUUAAGGGUAAAACAUUUCCCACAUUCAGCACAUGAGAAAGGUUUCUCUCCUGUGUGAGUUCUCUGAUGUUUAACAAGAUCUGAGUGCUGGCUAAAACAUUUCCCACAUGCAGAACAUGUGAAAGGUUUCUCUCCUGUGUGAGAUCUCUGGUGUGUAACAAGGUGUGCAUGGCUGUUAAAACAUUUUCCACAUUCAGAACAUGAGAAAGGUUUCUCUAGUGUGUGUUUUCUCUGGUGUGCAACUAGAGUCGAGUUAUGGCUAAACCAUUGCCCACAUGCAGAACACGAGACAGGUUUUUCUCCUGAGUGAGCACUCUGAUGUGUACUAAGACUUGAGUAAUGGCUAAAACAUUUUCCACAUUCAGAACAUGAGAAAGGUUUCUCUCCUGUGUGAGUUCUCUGGUGUGCAACUAGAGAUGUUCUAUGGCUAAAACAUUUCCCACAUUCAGAACAUGAAAAAGGUUUCUCUCCUGAGUGAGUUCUCUGGUGUGCAACUAGAGAUGUUCUAUGGCUAAAACAUUUCCCACAUUUAGAACAUGAAAAAGGUUUCUCUCCUGAGUGAGUUCUCUGGUGUGCAAAUAGAGAUGUUCUAUGGCCAAAACAUUUCCCACAUUCAGAACAUGAAAAAGGUUUCUCUCCUGAGUGAAUUCUCUGGUGUGCAACUAGAGAUGUUCUAUGGCUAAAACAUUUCCCACAUUCAGAACAUGAAAAAGGUUUCUCUCCUGUGUGAGCACUCUGGUGUGCAACUAGAGAUGCCUUAAGAGUAAAACAUCUCCCACAUGCAGCACAUGUGAAAGGUUUCUCUCCUGUGUGAGAUUUCUGGUGUGUAACAAGGUGUGCAUAGCUCUUAAAACAUUUCCCACAUUCAGCACAAGGGAAAGGUUUCUCUCCUGUGUGAGUUCUCUGGUGUGCAACUAGAGAUGCCUUAAGGGUAAAACAUUUCCCACAUUCAGCACAUGAGAAAGGUUUCUCUCCUGUGUGAGUUCUCUGGUGUGCAACUAGAGAUGCCUUAAGAGUAAAACAUUUCCCACAUUCAGAACACGAGAAAGGUUUCUCUCCUGAGUGAGCACUCUGAUGUGUACUAAGACUUGAGUACUGGCUAAAACAUUUUCCACAUUCAGAACAUGAGAAAGGUUUCUCUCCUGUGUGAGUUCUCUGGUGUGCAACUAGAGAUGCCUUAAGGGUAAAACAUUUCCCACAUUCAGAACACGAGAAAGGUUUCUCUCCUGAGUGAGCACUCUGAUGUGUACUAAGACUUGAGUACUGGCUAAAACAUUUCCCACAUUCAGCACAUGAGAAAGGUUUCUCUCCUGUGUGUAUUCUCUCAUGGGCUCUUAGAUUUGAGGACAGGCUAAAACAUUUUCCACAUUCAAAACAUGAGAAAGGUUUCUCUCCUGUGUGAGUUCUCUGAUGUAUUACAAUUUGUGACUGCCAGCGAAAACAUUUUCCACAUUCAGAACACGAGAAAGGUUUUGGGUUUAUGUUUACUAUCUCCUUUGUAGAUAUAUAGGAUUCUGAGAGAUUGCUUGAGUUUGGAGAGUUGGAAUCCUUGGUCUUUUUAUUAAAAGAUUUCUUCAUAAUCUUUUUUGUUGUUGUCCUGUCCUUUAGAAAAACUGCUGCUGCUGGAAAUAUCUGAAACAAAAUGUAAUGGGAGUUAUAGAAAAUAUUUCAAUAAAUGAUUUAUUGCUUACCAUACUAAGAAAAACUGACUUUAUUUCCACGAAACAUCAG
rnacentral:lncRNA from 1 species